rnacentral:lncRNA from 10 species
GGGUUCUUGAAUGACCCAUUCUGAGGACCACUGCCUACUAGAUUUUCAGCAGAGCAUUUUAAGACCAAGAAAUAUAGAUGCCAGGCUCUCCAUGCAGGACAUUCCAAGAGAUUGUGAAACCAACUGUUAAACUGCAGCCCAUCACCUACCUUGAGGAUUUAUAGGUAAAAGUAAGAAAAUUCUUCAAGAGAGGUCAGCAGUGAGGAUUGCUCUGAUGACCAUUGCCAAUGUGCUGUGUGCUCCCCAGAUACUGGCAGGAUGAGGACUAUUAAAGUAACUACUCCUGGACCUUGCUAUGUGCUCCCUGGCAUUUGAGUGCAUAGCCAAGAGGCCGGCUGGAGCCACUGGAGUGACAGAGAAAAGUGAGGGCUUCAUGGGCAGCAGCCUGCACCUCUGGAAGCAGACAGGGCUCAGCACAUCCUCAAGGAAAAUCUCUGGUGUUGAGUCAACUUGGGAAGGUUUGAAAUUUUGAUUGUGG